GAACAUAAUUCAAUAUAGAUAUAUGAUUCUAUUAAUAAAUUAACAAUUACAAAUUUGAAAUUUCUAGAAAUAUCAAAAGUCUUAUGUUAGUUGAUUAUCUUCUAAAUGACAUAUAUUUUUAAUUUUUUUUGGACAGAAUAUUUUGGAUGAGGUGGAUAGUCCCAAAAUCCUUGAAUUUAGUCUCUUUUAUAUAGUAGGAUCAUUUGUAAAAAUUAUACCAAAUCCACUGUUAUUCAAUGUUAAACAACAAUUUGAAAGGAAAAAUUGUAAAAAGGAUUUGAGGAGAGUUUACACCAGUUUUUAGUUGAAAACAAUUUCUAUAGAAUAACAUCUCUAGAGGUGUUAUUUGAAAAUAAUUGGAAAAAAAAAUAACAUUCGUGAAAAAUAAUGUUUUUUUGCUCCUCCGCUUGAGAGCUCUUGUAAGCGGCAGAAGCCUGAGACACCCUUUCUGGUUUUGACUUCGUCACCUUCAUUAGUAUACAUGGCGGACGAAUCUCAGUACUCUCCCGGCUCUUGCUCAUACAUGCUUCUCUAUCCCCUAAGCCUCUGUGAAACCUGGAUCAGUGAUUUCGUCCCUUGCAUCCCGAACUUCAAUUCGAUCAAGUAAGCCACCGUCGCGAACGGGACCGGAGAAAGUGAGGGGAGGAAGGCUUAAACCCCCCCCCCCCCCCCCCCCCCCCAAAUUGUGUAUGUGUUUCAAAACCAAUCGGUAUAUAGAAAUAUUUAAUUGUGCUGUUAAUAGAUUAAUUGGAUUGUGUAGAUAAUAAUUAAAACCGAGAUAUAAUUGGUUAUUAGAUUAGUUUUAGUGUUUUACUAUAUUCUUUAUGGCCUGCUGCUGUAUAAAUGGCCUAUUCGAAGAACGAUGUUAUAUAAUAGAUCGAUUUGUUGUGGUACGUUUUACAAACUUUGGAUACAAAUGUAGUCAUUUCGGUGGUAAGCUAGAAUUAAAAGCAAUGACAUCCUAUUGUAAUUAUUGAAGAAAACUCAGGGUUAAAUACAAAAUCAUGUUUUAAUAGUUUAGAUAUAUUACUUAUUUAUAUUAACAAUAGAAUAUUCCCUGCAUUUAUGGUAAUUAAUUUUUUCCAUAUUUUGUGAAUGGUAAUAAUUUAUUUAAAUUAUACUUUCCAUUUAAUUUGAAUAUCAUUUUUAAUGCAUAAUUUUAUUUAACGAUCAAAUAUGAAUAUAUACAUGAAAUUUAAAAAAAUUAUUAACUAUGUCGACAUAGUAAUGAUAUGCCAGUUUUGAGUGUUCAAAAAUACUGUAAAACUUAUCAUGAAAAUAAGUUUAGAUCUAAAAUAAAUAUAAUACAAACUUAUCACAAUUUAUUUGUAACCGAAAAGAAACUAAUAUUGUCAUAUCAAUAAAAAAAAUUUCUAUUACCAUGGCUUCGUUUUCUUCAAAUGACAUGAUACAAAUUUCAUUAAAGUCUAAAUUUUCACAAGUUUUUUCAAUUUUAUAAAAUAUUAAAAAUUAUGAAUUAUUUAAUAAAAAUAUCAAAAAGUUAUUAUAAUAUUUUUUGGUUUUCAGCGAAUCAUAGAUUUUUGAAUUUUAUACAAUUUUUUUGCGUUUUGGAUUUUUACCAUGUUUUAUAAGAUUUUAAUUAAUUUCUUAGUUAAAUUUAAAUUGGAUUAUACACGUUUAUGGGUCGGAUAUGAAAAUACUACUUAAAAAUCAAAUAUUAUAAUAUAACAACUUUUUUAAAACACAAAUAGAACAGCUUUAAAAUUAUUUGUUUUCUAAUAAUAUUAUAAAUUUAAAUAAAUUUUAUUAAAAUGGUAAAAAAUAUCCACGCUUUUAAAGCACGGGUUAAAAUCUAGUUAAUUUUAUAAGUCUAAAUCUCAAAUGUUAAUAAUCUUUGGUAUUGCAUGUAUCUAGCAACAAAUUGGUAUAGAUUAAGGGUCCAACCCAAAUGGUAUGUUUAGAGGAAAAAAGACUAAUGUAAUUCAGUAUUUUAUUUAAAAGUCACCAUUCAAAUUGAAUUAAAUUUUCUGAAGUUAAGCAUUUCUUGAAUUUCAUAAAAAUGUGAAAAAAUUGUUUCACUAAAACAAUUGAAAGUAUGAACACAUUUUGGAGAAAAUCAUUGUCUACUAUUCUACAGAGGAAUUGGAGGAAUGAAUUUGAAGAAUCAUUUCUAAGCUUUAAUUUCAAACAAAAAUAGUGCAUAAUCAACAUCUCAUAGAAAUAAUUUCAUGGACAAAUUGAGUCACCAAACAAAACCAACCGGAAUAUGUUUCUUUGUCACAAACAAAACAAACUUUGACUGGUUUGGAAAAAGUUAUGAAUGAGGUGUUAAACCAACAACAAUAUAAUAAAUAUUAUAUCUUACCGCUAGUAAUGAUAAUUAUGAUCUACUAAGAUUUAAUUCAUUAAAUAAAGUUAGUUUGUAAGGUUUUCUGUUAAAUACUUAGUUUAAGGUUUUUUAUCCAAAACAAACUUAGUUGAGGGCGACUACAAGAAUAAACUUAGUCAAGGACCAAAUAUGAAAAUCCAUGAUUCUUGAUUGCAGAUGCAAUCGAGCUUUCUUCAAUGGUGACUCCAAGAGCGAACCACCGCAGCUUCACCGAGAUGAUGAACAAGACUUCGCUGAGAUGAGCGAGGAGACGACUUGGACGACAUAUCUCGUGGUGGGGCCUAAGCAUGAAGAGGAGCUCAAACCACCGCAGGUGAGCACGACAAGGAGCUCGAACCACCACAUCUGAGCAUGGUGAGUUCAUCUAUGACGAGAUCCAACUACCGCAGCUUCACCGAGCUCGAAUCCCCGCAGCUUCACAAGAUGAGCUGGCACGGCGAGGAACUCGAACAACCGCAGCUUCACCGAGCUCAUUCCCGCCGAUGAUAAGCUCGGAAUCCAUGGUGUGGCUUACUGGCGGGCGAGGAGGAGGAGCUGACUCGUUUUGUCUUCGCCGACUCUCUUGUCUUCUCCGGCAGUUUUCUUGCCGGAAGUUCCACUUCAUUCACGACAAUGAUAAGGGAUAUGAAAUAGAUCGGGUAAUUAUCAUUCUCUGGAGUUGUCUCACUCUCUGUUUUCUGGGUUUUUUUUGAAUUUGAAUUCUCUUUUAAUUUGAGAGAUUGAGAUGACUUGGAUGAAGGAGAUGACGGACCAGCCAUAACCACAUGAACAAAUUGAUUUCAUUAUAAGCUUUGGUCUCAUCACACCCAUCGAUCCUUUCUUGAUUUUGUUUAGGGUUUGAACAUUUGAGAAAGUUUAAUUUAGUUAGGAGAGAGGAUGAAUAUGUCGGGAGUUAGAGGAGAAGAUGAAUGAAAAAGUAAAGUAUGUUUUAGUUCAAGGGUGAUAAGGUCAUUUAACAAUAGAAAAGUAUGUGUCAAGUGUAUUGUGCCUCUUGAUGUAAUUGUAAAUUGAGAAAAUAUCUUUCAGAAUAAUUUUUUCAUAAUAAUAACAAGGUAGGCUAGUUUGAUAUUAGUGCAUUUUUUGAAUGAGUCCAAAACUUAAAUGAUGACUUUUUAAGUAGAUAACAAGUAGAACUCUAAAUUAAUAGAUUAGACUACAUCUUGAUCCGCACAACCGUGCUGUUUUUUUUAUUUAUAUACUAAAAUAUUUUAGUUUAUAUAACAAAAUUUACCAAUAACUUAAUGUAAGUGAUAUAUAUAUAUAUAUAUAUAUAUAUAUAUAUAUAUAUAUAUAUAUAUAUAUAUAUAUAUAUAUAUAUAUAUAUAUAACUCUAUAAUAGUUAUGUUUACGUGGCUUAUAUAUUAUUACUAUAAAUUUUGUAUUUUUGUAAUAAAAAUUAUUUUGAAAACAUUAUUAUGUAACAAUACUACUUUACAUAUUUUUGUUUUAAAUUUUAAAUUUAUAUGAAAACAAAUUAAAUUGGACCUAUAUAGUAGAGAAGAAAUUUUUUUGAGAUACCUUAAAACAUAAUUUUCUUAAAAGAGAAGCUAUAAUACAUUGUACUUCAAAAUAAAUUUGUAGUAAAUAUCAUAU